GCAUAUCAAUAAGCGGAGGAAAAGAAACCCAACCGGGAUUGCCUCAGUAACGGCGAGUGAAGCGGCAAAAGCUCAAAUUUGAAAUCUGCGUAAGCCGAGUUGUAAUUUGAAGAUGGCUACUUUGGUAAUGGCUCUUGUCUAUGUUCCUUGGAACAGGACGUCACAGAGGGUGAGAAUCCCGUGCGAUGAGAUGUCCAUUACCGUGUAAAGUGCUUUCGAAGAGUCGAGUUGUUUGGGAAUGCAGCUCUAAGUGGGUGGUAAAUUCCAUCUAAAGCUAAAUAUUGGCGAGAGACCGAUAGCGAACAAGUACAGUGAUGGAAAGAUGAAAAGAACUUUGAAAAGAGAGUGAAAAAGUACGUGAAAUUGUUGAAAGGGAAGGGCUUGAGAUCAGACUUGGUAUUUUGUAUGGCUUGCUUUCGGGCGGGUCCUCUGCAGUUUACUGGGCCAGCAUCGGUUUGGGUGGCAGGAUAAUAGCAUAGGAAUGUGGCUCUACUUCGGUGGAGUGUUAUAGCCUUUGUUGAUACUGCCUGCCUAGACCGAGGACUGCGUCUUUUGACUAGGAUGCUGGCAUAAUGAUCCUAAGCCGCCCGUCUUGAAACACGGACCAAGGAGUCUAACGUCUAUGCGAGUGUUUGGGUGUAAAACCCGUACGCGGAAUGAAAGUGAACGUAGAUGAGAGCCUUUUAGGCGCAUCAUCGACCGAUCCUGAUGUCUUCGGAUGGAUUUGAGUAAGAGCAUAGCUGUUGGGACCCGAAAGAUGGUGAACUAUGCCUGAAUAGGGUGAAGCCAGAGGAAACUCUGGUGGAGGCUCGUAGCGGUUCUGACGUGCAAAUCGAUCGUCGAAUUUGGGUAUAGGGGCGAAAGACUAAUCGAACCAUCUAGUAGCUGGUUCCUG
rnacentral:rRNA from 1 species